rnacentral:rRNA from 1 species
UACCAGCACCCCGAGUGGUCGGGACGUUUAUUGGGCCUAAAGCAUCCGUAGCCGGUUCUACAAGUCUUCCGUUAAAUCCAGCUGCUUAACAGAUGGGCUGCGGAAGAUACUAUGGAGCUAGGAGGCGGGAGAGGCAAGCGGUACUCGAUGGGUAGGGGUAAAAUCCGUUGAUCCAUUGAAGACCACCAGUGGCGAAGGCGGCUAGCCAGAACGCGCUCGACGGUGAGGGAUGAAAGCUGGGGGAGCAAACCGG